rnacentral:rRNA from 1 species
UACGUAGGGUCCGAGCGUUGUCCGGAAUUACUGGGCGUAAAGAGCUCGUAGGUGGUUUGUCGCGUUGUUCGUGAAAACUCGGGGCUCAACUCCGAGCUUGCAGUCGAUACGGGCAGGCUAGAGUUCGGCAGGGGAGACUGGAAUUCCUGGUGUAGCGGUGAAAUGCGCAGAUAUCAGGAGGAACACCGGUGGCGAAGGCGGGUCUCUGGGCCGAUACUGACACUGAGGAGCGAAAGCGUGGGGAGCGAACAGG